CUAAAUUAAGUGCCUAACACAAUGCUAUGACUAAAGCAAGUCAAAAUAGUAUUGAUAAGAGACGCCAUACUUGAGUGCUGAGUGUUGGACUCUACUUAGCGGCGGACGGGUGAGUAACGCGUGGGCAACCUGCCUUGCACAGGGGGAUAACACAGGGAAACUUGUGCUAAUACCGCAUAACAUCACGGGGAGGCAUCUUCCUGUGAUCAAAGGAGAAAUCCGGUGCAAGAUGGGCCCGCGUCCGAUUAGCUAGUUGGCGGUGUAACGGACCACCAAGGCGACGAUCGGUAGCCGAACUGAGAGGUUGAUCGGCCACAUUGGGACUGAGACACGGCCCAGACUCCUACGGGAGGCAGCAGUGGGGAAUAUUGCGCAAUGGAGGAAACUCUGACGCAGCAACGCCGCGUGAAGGAUGAAGGUCUUCGGAUUGUAAACUUCUUUGAUGAGGGACGAAGGAAGUGACGGUACCUCAAAAACAAGCCACGGCUAACUACGUG
rnacentral:rRNA from 1 species